CACGUAGGGAGCAAGCGUUGUCCGGAUUUAUUGGGCGUAAAGAGCUCGUAGGUGGUUCGAUAAGUCGGGUGUGAAAACUCUGGGCUCAACUCAGAGACGCCACUCGAUACUGUCGUGACUGGAGUCUGGUAGGGGAGUGUGGAAUUCUCAGUGUAGCGGUGAAAUGCGCAGAUAUUGGGAGGAACACCAGUGGCGAAGGCGGCACUCUGGGCCAGUACUGACACUGAGGAGCGAAAGCGUGGGGAGCGAACAGG
rnacentral:rRNA from 1 species